AUUGAACGCUGGCGGCAUGCUUUACACAUGCAAGUCGAACGGUAACAGGCCGCAAGGUGCUGACGAGUGGCGAACGGGUGAGUAAUGCAUCGGAACGUGCCCAGUCGUGGGGGAUAACGCAGCGAAAGCUGCGCUAAUACCGCAUACGAUCUAUGGAUGAAAGCGGGGGACCGAAAGGCCUCGCGCGAUUGGAGCGGCCGAUGUCAGAUUAGGUAGUUGGUGGGGUAAAGGCUCACCAAGCCAACGAUCUGUAGCUGGUCUGAGAGGACGACCAGCCAAACUGGGACGGAGACACGGCCCAGACUCCUACGGGAGGCAGCAGUGGGGAAUUUUGGACAAUGGGCGCAAGCCUGAUCCAGCAAUGCCGCGUGCAGGAAGAAGGCCUUCGGGUUGUAAACUGCUUUUGUACGGAACGAAACGGUCCGGGUUAAUACCCUGGGCUAAUGACGGUACCGUAAGAAUAAGCACCGGCUAACUACGUGCCAGCCGCCGCCGUAACAC
rnacentral:rRNA from 1 species